rnacentral:rRNA from 1 species
GGAAUUUUGGACAAUGGGCGAAAGCCUGAUCCAGCAAUGCCGCGUGCAGGAUGAAGGCCUUCGGGUUGUAAACUGCUUUUGUACGGAACGAAAAAGUCUGCCCUAAUACGGUGGGCCCAUGACGGUACCGUAAGAAUAAGCACCGGCUAACUACGUGCCAGCAGCCGCGGUAAUACGUAGGGUGCGAGCGUUAAUCGGAAUUACUGGGCGUAAAGCGUGCGCAGGCGGUUAUAUAAGUCAGAUGUGAAAUCCCCGGGCUCAACCUGGGACCUGCAUUUGAGACUGUAUAGCUAGAGUACGGUAGAGGGGGAUGGAAUUCCGCGUGUAGCAGUGAAAUGCGUAGAUAUGCGGAGGAACACCGAUGGCGAAGGCAAUCCCCUGGACCUGUACUGACGCUCAUGCACGAAAGCGUGGGGAGCAAACAGGAUUAGAUACCCCAG